AGGCUUCUGCCUUUGGAGUGUCUGAGUGGGACAGAGAGAUGGUAGUGUGGUGGUAGACAGAGAGAUGGUAGUGUGGUGGUAGACAGAGAGAUGGUAGUGUGGUGAUGGACAGAGAGAUGGUAGUGUGGUGGUAGACAGAGAGAUGGUAGUGUGGUGGUAGACAGAGAGAUGGUAGUGUGGUGGUAGACAGAGAGAUGGUAGUGUGGUGGUAGAUAGAGAGAUGGUAGUGUGGUGGUAGACAGAGAGAUGGUAGUGUGGUGAUGGACAGAGAGAUGGUAGUGUGGUGGUAGACAGAGAGGUGGUAGUGUGGUGGUAGACAGAGAGAUGGUAGUGUGGUGGUAGACAGAGAGAUGGUAGUGUGGUGGUAGACAAAGAGGUGGUAGUGUGGUGGUGGACAGAGAGAUGGUAGUGUGGUGGUAGACAGAGAUAUGGUAGUGUGGUGGUAGACAGAGAGAUGGUAGUGUGGUGGUAGACAGAGAGAUGGUAGUGUGGUGGUGGACAGAGAGAUGGUAGUGUGGUGGUAGACAGAGAUAUGGUAGUGUAUGUGAGGGGGUAAAGGCCGGGAGAGGAUACUGUUAUUAUACAGAGAGGACGCAGCGUGUCAGGGAGCAUUACACACAAGUACACACACAUAAUGCUAAUACACACACAGUCACAAACACACACGCUAAUACACACACGUCGUGUCACUGUACAUCAC
ensembl:lncRNA